rnacentral:rRNA from 1 species
GUGCCAGCCGCCGCGGUAAGACGGAGGGGGCAAGCGUUGUCCGGAAUCACUGGGCGUAAAGCGCACGUAGGUGGCUCGGUGCGUCGGCGCUGAAACCUCUGGGCUCAACCCAGAGACGCGUGCCGAUACGACUGGGCUCGAGGCAGGGAGAGGGUAGCGGAAUUCCGGGUGUAGUGGUGAAAUGCGUAGAGAUCCGGAGGAACGCCUGAAGCGAAAGCGGCUACCUGGCCCUGUCCUGACACUGAGGUGCGAAAGCGUGGGGAGCGAACCGGAUUAGAUACCCUCGUAGUCC